rnacentral:rRNA from 1 species
GACGUAGGGCGCGAGCGUUGUCCGGAUUUAUUGGGCGUAAAGGGCUCGUAGGCGGUUUGUCGCGUCGGGAGUGAAAACCUCGGGCUUAACUCUGGACUGGCUUUCGAUACGGGCAGACUAGAGGUAUGCAGGGGAGAACGGAAUUCCUGGUGUAGCGGUGAAAUGCGCAGAUAUCAGGAGGAACACCGGUGGCGAAGGCGGUUCUCUGGGCAUUACCUGACGCUGAGGAGCGAAAGUGUGGGGAGCGAACAGG